AAGGCGGACGGCAGUAGCAGGCC
rnacentral:piRNA from 1 species